rnacentral:rRNA from 1 species
CAGCCCCUCGAGUGGCGGGGAUGAUUAUUUGGCCUAAAGCGUCCGUAGCCGGCCGAGCAAGUCUUCCGUUAAAUCCAGCGUCUCAAGCGUUGGACCGCGGGAGAUACUACACGGCUAGAGAGUGGGAGAGGUCAGCGGUAUUCUGGGGGUAGGGGCGAAAUCCUUUGAUCCCCGGAGGACCACCAGUGGCGAAGGCUGCUGACUAGAACACGUCUGACGGUCAGGGACGAAAGCUGGGGUAGCGAACCGGAUUAGAGACCCGAGUAGUCC